CCCACCCCUUGUUUUCCACAUAAGAAGCAGCACACUGAGAGAGCUGCUGCUGUUUCUUGUGUACAAGUUGCCAAGGGAAGUCUCUAUUUUCAUACCGAACCUGGUUUCCUGGUGGGCACACUAAUUGUUGCCUGCUAAAAUCGCAACUCUGACAAAAAUGUCUCUAAUCUGUUUAGAUGUGCAUCGAAUCGGGAGCUGGCCAGGCAGUUAAACCAACAGACCGUUUCUAAUGAGCUGGAAACCAAACCCCUUUAAAAGAGACAGGCCCUGGUCUAGUGUCUCCAGCACAACUGGAAACAUGCGACCUCUGCCAACACUGGAGUUGCAGGACCAGUUUCUGCAGCCAUUAUCAACAGAAGCCAGUAGCAAGGUCACCAACUCCAAUGCCCUUGGGGACCAGGCAGGAUACCAGUGACUUCAAGAGGAAGGGUCAAGCUACAGAGCUAUGAACAGGAGCCGUGCUUUAUUUAGUGUCUACCAUGAAAUGCGGGGACCUCAUGGGUGCCCUAUUAGGACUUCCUCAAACUUUUCUGCUUCUUAGGGGGUUGGUCAGUGUGUGGUUAAGACACCCACACAUCCCGUCUGGCUUCAGAUCCCAGCCACCUCACAUUAGUGUGUCCAGUUCACGUGCACACGGAAUGAAAAGGCCAGCCACAAGCCUUCAGAAAUGUCCUCAGUGCUGGCACCCAGACACCACAAGUAUUUGUUGUGUGCUUUGGGUCACGUUUGUAUCAUAAUCCAGGCUUAGGAAAGAGGGCAUUUUCCAAAACUCUUACAAAGCAGCUGCGACCAAAUAAAAAUUGCAAGCUAACUGCAAAUGGCUGAAGUGAUCUGUCCUUUUGGUGCUCUGGACCACCUGAGUUCCAAGUGUGUGCAACACUACAUUAUGGGAUGGCAUGCACAGACAUGCGCAAGGCUAUUCCCAAACAACAAGAUAAGCAAGGUGCCAGACGUGCAGGCUGGAAGUCUGGGGAAUGCAGAGGAGGGAACCUCUCCCUGCUUGGGGUAUGCAGCUUAUCAGAGGAAGAAACCAGCACAUGAAAUCCAAGUUGUGUAGGGUUGUUUGGAGUAAAGGAAUCCCAGAUGAACAGGUUAGGGCAGGAACUUCCUUACCGAAACAGAUAGAACUAUGAUGUGAUCAGUGUCCAACCCUAGCCUAGGCUGUCCCACUGUACAGGAAGGGCCCUUGAACCCAAAAGUAUGAAGGAAGAAUUUGGUCUCCUUGUAUUGGGGCUGAGGAAGGAGUCCUGCGUCUGACUCAAGGUUAAACCCUGUGGAAUCAGGCCAGUCACCUUCACCACACUUUGCAUCUCAAUGAGCUCCCAUGCCGUAAUCGGAUGCCACUGUGCACUACAGAUAGGAUCUUACUUGAACUCUUAAGAUCAGAGGUUUGUGGGUUCAGAUUUCUGCCCUGCCACACUGGCUCUGUGGACCUCACACGGGUACAGAUUUUUCUGGCAUCUCUGUCUUUUGUAAUGAAGAAGAGAAUAUUGUGGGGCUCGUGAGAUGGCUCUGUGAUUAAGUGUGUUUCUGUCCCACCCCGUGAGAGAGAGCCAACCCCUGACACUAUAAAUGACACUCUGCUAUGCUUGAAGAAAGGAGCCUAGCACAACUGUCUCCUGAGAGGCUUCAUCCACCAGUGGAUAGAAACAGAUCUAGAGACAGACCAACACCCAAACAUCGGGCACACAGUAGGCACUUGGGAAUACUUGUGAACUGGAUAAACGAAUGCCAUCUCCGACUGAGUGAGAAGUCAGCAAACAAGAAGUGAGUUCCUGCAGUAUUUGGCCAGUUCCUCACACUGCUGCUGCUCCAACGUGUGGAUGAGGGUAUACGCCCCUGCUGUCUCUGUCCAGCUCCAUCUUGGAUCUUGGUCUCUAGGCCUAGCUCCUUCUUGGUUCUUUGGCCAGCUGUAGACUGAGGGUGGCGUAUGUGCACAUGCCCACUCUUUCUAACAUGUUCUUCUCACCACCUCCAGAUUGGUGCUAUUUUAGAUCCAGGGGUGUCAGGGGUAUAAAAGGAUGAAUUUUGGAAAUUGUGGCUGCAACAUGGACAGAGAGACCGCUGGGGCCUGAAAUAGCUGGAAGGCUACAGAACAUCUCAGAAUAGCAUCCGGCUUCACCACAAUUCCAGGAUAGAGCCUCACACACACCCAAGAGGGCCAGAGACACCGUUUGCACAGCAGCCUGGGGUAUGCAUGGAAAGUCUUCUGGGUGGAAAAAUGAGUCACCAAAGGAAGCCAAAUAUUGUUCUUGUUCAGAGAAGAGGGCAGAGUCUUCAGAGGUUCCGAUGGUUGUUCCAGAAGAUGGUGAGAGUGUAGGGUGAGGUGCUAAGACCCUAGUGUGGUCACAGGGUCAAGAGUAUCUUAGGCUUGAUGAAUGAGUGACAGAACUGGGAUUCAAAUGGCAGUUCAUCUGCUUCUACAUGUGGAUGCUGGGCCUGGGCCCUUUGGGGGAGGAAUGUCAUAGCAAGGGUGGCAUGCUUACAGCCUUUGAGUAUUUAAGAAUUCUCUCUUCAAGUUUCCUCCCCCC